rnacentral:misc_RNA from 1 species
CAAUCGUGAUGAGCAAUAUGAUAGAGGUGUUUUACUAUAGGGACGCUAAUGCAAUGGAGAGGAAGACGAGGGAAUUUGUGUUCAUAUAUAUUGGGACAGGCCUUUAUGCGGUUGUCGCUUAUCUAGUACAACACUACUUUUUCAGUAUAAUGGGGGAGAAUCUCACCACAAGGGUGAGAAGGAUGAUGCUUUCAGCAAUUCUAAGGAAUGAAGUUGGUUGGUUUGAUGAGG